GUUUUUUUAUUGCCGUGAUAGUGUGGCUGCUGAGAUUAAGUCUAUGAUUGAUGAAUUGAAGUCCAAAUUUGACAAAGAUAUUUUGAGAACUGUUUGAAAAAGGAAACUUCCAAGUUCCAAACACUUUAUCAGCAAUUUUGCAAGGAAAAAGCAACCCAUUUGCAGGCGUUGAAAGUCCCUUCUCAUUUUCUCAAGAGUAUUAUGUAUCAUUAAUGGAGAGGAGCUCGAGCUAGAAGAUGAUGAGUUGUUUGGAGUAGUUCCGGAGAGCCAUGAGUUUGCAGGAGAAUGGGUUGUAAUAUUUCGAGAUGGGACAUACUUGACCUUGAAAGAAGUUUUUGAGAGUCUGGAUCUGAGG